UCGAACGGGCUCUUCGGAGCUAGUGGCGGACGGGUGAGUAACGCGUGAGAAUCUGCCUUCAGGAGGGGGAUAACGACUGGAAACGGUCGCUAAUACCCCAUAUGCCUCCGGGUGAAAAGUAAUUCGCCUGAAGAUGAGCUCGCGUCAGAUUAGCUAGUUGGUGGGGUAAGAGCCUACCAAGGCGACGAUCUGUAGCUGGUCUGAGAGGAUGAUCAGCCACACUGGGACUGAGACACGGCCCAGACUCCUACGGGAGGCAGCAGUGGGGAAUUUUCCGCAAUGGGCGCAAGCCUGACGGAGCAAGACCGCGUGGGGGAUGACGGCCUAAUGGUUGUAAACCCCUUUUCUCUGGGAAGAAGACUGACGGUACCAGAGGAAUCAGCCUCGGCUAACUCCGUGCCAGCAGCCGCGGUAAUACGGAGGAGGCAAGCGUUAUCCGGAAUUAUUGGGCGUAAAGCGUCCGUAGGUGGUUAUUCAAGUCUGCUGUCAAAGCGUGGGGCUUAACUCCAUAGAGGCAGUGGAAACUGAGUGACUAGAGUGCGGUAGGGGUCGAGGGAAUACCCAGUGUAGCGGUGAAAUGCGUAGAUUUAGGGAAGAACACCAGUGGAGAAAGCGCUCGAAUGGGCCUGAAAUGACACUGAGGGACGAAAGCUAGGGGAGCGAAAGGGAUUAGAUACCCCUGUAGUC
rnacentral:rRNA from 1 species